UGCGGCUCGUUGAUUUCGAUUAUCAGGCCCCAUGAGAGAUUCCUGCCUUGUGAGGGUGGUGGUGGUGGAAGGGGGUGGGGGGUAAAAUGGAGAGCGUGGUCAUGUGGGAGAAAGAGUACCGGCACUGGCUGAGGAAAAAUGGGAGUGAGGAGAGAAGCGAGGGGGGAUGACUGGGUAGGAAUCGGAAAAAAUCGCAUGAAAAGGGGGAAAAAACCCAGAAGAAAUGGAACCUCACUUCUUCCUCUUCUGUGGUGACCAUCUCAUUCAUCUAUUGAGCCUCUGAAGCGAACCACUCCGAAGAUGUAAUUUUGUAUUAGGAAUGCGGCGGUCAAGCAGAGACGCUCCCCAGCCAUGGGAAAGUCCGUGAAAGAUGGACGCUGCUCGCCAGUUGGGGACACAAAAUGGCGGACUGCGGCAGCGACUUUUCUCUCUCGGACUGAUUUUCUUCAAAUCUGUGCCCCGCGCCGGCGCUUUUCCAGAGCCACAGCAUGCUUCCU